rnacentral:rRNA from 1 species
AUACGGAGGAUGCGAGCGUUAUCCGGAUUUAUUGGGUUUAAAGGGAGCGUAGGUGGGAUAUUAAGUCAGCUGUGAAAGUUUGGGGCUCAACCUUAAAAUUGCAGUUGAUACUAGUUUCCUUGAGUACGGUAUAGGUGGGCGGAAUUCGUGGUGUAGCGGUGAAAUGCUUAGAUAUCACGAAGAACUCCGAUCGCGAAGGCAGCUCACCGGGCCGGAACUGACACUGAUGCUCGAAAGUGCGGGUAUCAAACAGGAUUAGAUACCCUGGUAGUCCGCACAGUAAACGAUGAAUACUCGCUGUUUGCGAUACACUGUAAGCGGCCAAGCGAAAGCGUUAAGUAUUCCACCUGGGGAGUACGCCGGCAACGGUGAAACUCAAAGGAAUUGACGGGG